rnacentral:rRNA from 1 species
GACGAACCGUCCAAACGUUAUUCGGAAUUACUGGGCUUAAAGGGUGCGUAGGCGGCCUGACAAGUUGGGUGUGAAAUACCUCGGCUCAACCGAGGAACAGCGCUCAAAACUGUUAGGCUUGAGGGAGAUAGAGGUGAGCGGAACUUAAGGUGGAGCGGUGAAAUGCGUUGAUAUCUUAAGGAACACCCGUGGCGAAAGCGGCUCACUGGAUCUCUUCUGACGCUCAUGCACGAAAGCUAGGGGAGCAAACGGGAUUAGAUACCCCGGUAGUCCUAGCCGUAAACGAUGAGCACUGGGUUGGAGGCCCCUUCAUAGGCUUCCGGCCGAAGCGAAAGUGUUAAGUGCUCCGCCUGGGGAGUAUGGUCGCAAGGCUGAA